UUUGCCGUGCUUCCGUAUGAAGGAAUCUCGUGAUGGCCAAAAAGUGUUUUGUCCCCCGUUGCAUGAGUGGACAAAAGCGCUGUCGCGAGAAGUACUCAAUAUUUGCUGCUCCCAAAGACGAGGCACUACUCGAGCUCUGGCGACGUGCGAUACGAAGGAAGGACCGCCAGCUUCAGGCGACUGACCACGUCUGCGAGAAACAUUUCGAGCCUUGUCUCGUAUCAAAGACCUGGAAGGCCGAAUACAACGGAAGGGUGCUGGUCAGCACGCCCCGACGUGCUUGCUUGUCGAAGGACGCCGUACCGACCAGGUUUCUGGAAUGUCCGUCGUACCUCCUGGAAGUCGAGAAGCCCAGGAGGAGGGGCCGUGCGGGAAGGCAGCUUCCAGCAGAAAAGAAAAGUGCAGUGUCUAGCGGCGGCAGUGAACGCCGUGAUGUUGAUCCAAGUUCUUGCGCGCCGUCGACGUCUGCGUUCGACGACGACGACGGCGGCGGCGGCACGCAUGCAACGGGCGAAGAACGCCGUGGCCGAGAAGGAACCGACCGUGGCCCGUGUGCCACGGCAGUUUCUUCACUUGCGGGCUCGCUCGAUAAGCUGCCGCCUCCGUGCCUGCCGUCGAAUUCGGGGGAAUGUCGUCGACUUGAAACGAGCGAGGGUUUUUUUGGCCCAGACCAGUUCCAGAUGGCCCUGAGGAGGUCCGACGAGGAAAAGGAGGGGAGCGCCCACGAUGUGCAGGGCCAUUCUGACACCGAAGAAAGCGAAUCGAUACUGCCGGACGAUGGACCGGGGUGGGGCAGUUCCAGUGACAACAGUCUGACGCGAGCUGUUACUAUCAAAACAGAACCACCAGAAUAUGUUGAACAGGACGAAGAGCCUAGCAGCCAUCUUGUGUCUGUUAAAUCAGAGCCAGAAUUUUACGAAGAUGUUAAGGAACCUAACAGCCUAUUGCCAGCUCUUACGAAAGAUUACACGGACAUGACAAAGGUCACGUUCCACUUCAAUGCAGAGCCACAGGUUUCCGAAGAGACUCGACUUUGGCACAACACGACAGUGGCCGUUAAGAUUGAGCCGCCAGAUCCGACAGAAGUCCACACCGAGACAGUUUCCACGGGGACGGUGUUGGGUGGUUCCAGCGGCAACACUGUGAUGACGGCUGUUACUAUUAAGACGGAGCCACCAGAAUAUGUUGAACAGGACGAAGAGCCUAGCAGCCAUCUUGUAUCUGUUAAAUCAGAGCCGGAAUGUUACGAGGAAAUUUGGGAACCUAGGAACCCAGUGCCAGCUCUUACGAAUGAGCCGCAGGUUUCCGAAGGGGCCCAACAACGUGGCAACGCAGCGGUGGCCGUCAAAACUGAGCCUCAAGAUCCGACGGAAGUCGACGCUCCAGCGAUUUUUCUGGGGGCAGAUCUGGGUGCGGCACCUCUGAAAGAGUUCCAGCAAGCUCCUGUCCCCACGAAUUCUAUUGGCUCGUACGCCGUCGUGGCCCGGCCACUACGGUGGGUCCCCACCUCCGUCCGCAACGAAGUGCAGCCGCAGGCAGACAUCGUCUACUUGCGCAACGUGGAACGGCACGGCAUUCCGAUUCAGCCCGUGGUGGCGACACUGCCAGUCGUGGCGGUGCUGCCGGAACGACCGGACGUCGUGCCGCCAUGACUUCCUGGUUUAGGACUUUUUGGCCUAGAUCUGUUCCAGAUAGCCUUGAGGAGAUCCGAUAAGGAAACGGAGGGGAACGCCAAUGGUAUGGACCCUCUUCUCUCAUUGGCUGCUUCGUAG